rnacentral:lncRNA from 1 species
GGCUGGGGGACUUGGCGUCCGUCCAGUUACUUGGGGCUCCCGCGGGGUGGUCCCCUGUGGGUCCCUCGUGCCUGCGGUACCAAGGGCAACGCCAACAAAACGCCUGGCCGCAUGCGCCUGUAGCCAGCUAUUUUUCUUUGGCCUUAUUUUGACCGAUUUACAGCUGCUGGAAUCCUGAUGUGGAACCUCCGACUUCCCAACGGAAGAGGAAAGGCCCAGUACCUAAAACUGAUUUAUGGACAGAAACUCCCGAAGCAUGAGAAGCGUGUGGCCUCUCCGCCCUCUCCUUGCAGGGCGGGCAGCGCUGGCAUCCAGGUCGUGCGCUGCCUUCAUUUCAGCCACUUCACAUUCUCAGCCUUUCAAACACCACCCGUCUCCCUCCUUUCCAAAAUAAAACUGAAAUUAGAUUUUAUUAAUUAGGAAAUGACGUCCCAAUUAAACCACCUUGUGUUUCACAUAACACAUUUCUAAACAACUUUUAAAAUAUUUGGUGUUUAAACAAAGGAAAAACAUCUAAGGUGACACAGCGAUGAAGGGAGAACCUCCGCUUGGAGGCUGCUACAUGUUACAGCCGCAAGACAUCCGACCCGCACUGUGGAAUCUUUCUCUGUCUUACUUAAACAGGAGUUGGGACUAAGGAAAGUGUUAUUCCUCAAGUGUGUGGCUGCAGACUCCAGUCUUUUAGACAUUUGAAUGGCAGGAGGCAGACCGAGCAGUUACCCAGUGAAACCCGACCUUCAAGCCGAAGACAGUUUAAAGCCGACCUACAAGUCCCAGUGUAUCAUCAUUCUUCUUGGACGUGGGACAAGAGCUCAGGAUGCACCAAAUGUGAAUACAGAGAAGGCUGUAACUCCAUAACCCUUUGCCCUUCACCAGCAGAGGGCAGCCACCCCAUGUGACAGAAGCAGCAGUGGGACUGAGCCAGCCCUGGAGCCAUGGGCUGAUGCGGGGCAAGCGGCUGACAGAGCUGUUGACGCACCACUGUCCAUCAGGAUGCAGACUAAAAGAGCUAAUUAGCAUGCUGUAACACCCCCUCUGGGGCUUCAGGAUCACAGCACCCCUACCUGGGCGCCACCGUGUUCCCCUUGUCUGGACGCCGGAGUCCACCAUGGGAGUGGCUUGCAACAUGCCUGGUCCAGCCACAAGCCCUGCAUGGAGCCUGCGUCUGUGCUGACACUUGGAACCGUUGGCUGGACCCCGCACUCACUCGCUCACACCCCCUCCCACUGGGGGCUGAGUGCACAGUCGGAACAGCCGCAAACGCUGGAGUGCGGGCCUGGCAUGACAUGAUGGGCCAAGUGAAUGGGCAUCUCCUGUGGCAAACCUGGGCCUGAGCAAGGGUGUCGCUGGCUGGGGGUCUCUGGCUGACAAGUGACCAAGAAAAGUCAUGCGCCGCCAUCGUGUCCUGAACUGAUUUUUCAGGUUUCUUUGAAACCCCCUUGGCUGAAGGUGGGGGUAGGGGGUUCCAUUCAGUCAGUUGGGGGAGCUUAGUAUCUUAUUUUUGGUUUAUAUAACUUGAAAUUGUCCAGCUGUCAGACUCUGCCACCAACUGGCUAUCCUACAAUCCAACCCCAUUCACACUCACUCGCAGAGUUAGCACAGACCCCACAGG